AAAGGUGCCGCCCCGGUCUCUCCGUCCCGCCCCGAGCACGCCCCUCACUCCGCACCGGCCAAUGGCACCGCCCCGUCCGCCCCGCUCUGGGAACGCCGCUCCAGCAGAUGUGACAUAGACUGGAAGUGAUGGACCCAGACAACAAUCAGAACCAAAGCACCAGAUGAGCCACCUCAGCCACGUGAGCCAUGCCAGCCACCCUACCUGUGACCCCAUCUGUGGCCCCAGUUAUCAUGGAGUAGAGGAUCCAGCCAGCUGCCGGCACACUUUCGUCCUCCUCCGCACACGAGGAUCCCCAGGCCCAGCGGUGUUAGCCCAGAGAGGAGCGGCGUUUGGGAUGUGAUCCACAGCUGAUCCCUCGUGGCCCCUCCUCUCCCGAAUCCUGAAACAUGAGGAGGCCCUUCAGCUGCUGGCUCGGAGUCCGACUAUGGGAACUUUCUCCGGUCUACGGGGGCAGCAAGGGUCUCGCCUCAGGGACUUGGUUUAUUUAUCUAGCUGGACUCCAUCCCUUAAUAUCCUACUUACAGAGGAAGAGGCUUUAGCAGCUAAAUGCAGCCCCAUCCCCUCCUGUGGAGACUGUGAGCAGAAAAAGAACAGAUAUUUACAGAGGCCCGAGCCCCCCUUGUUGUUUUCUGCAAGGCUGUCGAGCUGGUGGAGCUUCAGGAUCCUGGUCAGGAACCCCGAACCCAGCGCUGGAGGCCCUGAAGAUCAGGGCACCCGACCCUCUUCCCAGCCGCCAAAGGCCUGUGUUGGUCUGAUUGUGGAUUCCAAGCUCUAAUUUCCAUCCAUCCUCCCAAUCCGAAUUCCCUUUGCAGACAUAAACACCAUCAGCAAUGUAGAGAAUGUGUUUCCUCAUCUUUGAAUAUUAACACUCAUCUGUUUAAUUGAGCUACUUUUUACAUACAUGUAAGAUGUGCUGCAAUUGCAAAAGAAACAUGUGCUUCGUGUUCUAUAAGCCAUAUCUUCCGCAAGACCUGCCAUCAAAUGAUUGCUCAAACAUUUGUUGAAUGGGAUGAGCAAUGGAGGUUCAGACAGGUGCCCUGACCUACCCAGGCUGGAGGGUAGGGAGCUAGAAAUUCAUACAACCAUGCCUUGUUCUACUUGUUUUGUGAAAGAAUCAUGUGACCAGUGACAAAGAGGCUGGGCAGCUGGGUCAGGCAGCAGGGACAGCGACUGAGCUGGGGGGACUACAGUGCUGUGCUCCUCUGCACCCGUGCUGGGAUGUCUGAGGCCAAGCUGACACUGGCCCCCCACAAUCCCUUGGGGCUGCUCCUCCUCAGGGAGUGGCUCUCCGGGUUUCCUGCUUGACUCCUGCUGCUCUUGUGUUGAAGGGCCGUCUCUGGGCAGCUCCCCCUGGCCCCUGGCCAGAGAGCCAGGCCCUGUCAGGCACGCACAUGGAGGAUGAGGGAGGUGCAGUUGUUUUCACAGGUGCAGACUCUAGAGGGACCCCACGUGGACUCUGUGGCUUCUGCCCCGACGCACUCGCGGGAGGACACAGCUCUGCCCGGAAGGGAGAGUGCUGAGCUGGGUCCCUGCUGCUCAUCUCUGUGGCAUCACCCUGUCAGUCCUUCCCUGUCACACAUAUGUUCCGCAAGACCUGCCGUCAAAUAUUUGCUCAGUCAAACAUUUGUUGAAUGGGAUGAGCCAUGGAGGUUCAGACAGAUGCCGUGACCUGAAGUGUCAAAUGAAGGGAUGCGUGUGUGAUGGCCUUCACCAUUUAUAUUGUUUUAAACUUGCUAAGCACUAGUUAAAAUAAAAAAGCCAACACUUUUCUUUACAUUUUUACUCUCUCUCUUUCU
rnacentral:lncRNA from 1 species